UACAGAGGUGGCAAGCGUUGUUCGGAAUUACUGGGCGUAAAGGGCGCGUAGGCGGUCCCAUAAGUCCCGCGUGAAAUCCCCCGGCUCAACCGGGGAACUGCGCGGGAAACUGCGGGGCUAGAGUGCAGAAGGGGCAACUGGAAUUCUCGGUGUAGCGGUGAAAUGCGUAGAUAUCGAGAGGAACACCUGCGGCGAAGGCGGGUCUCUGGACAGUUCCUGACGCUGAGGCACGAAGGCCAGGGGAGCAAACGGG
rnacentral:rRNA from 1 species